ensembl:lncRNA
AGCACCUGGGGGGAAGGCAGGGCCAACCCAGGGGAGCUCAGGUGCAUGCAAUACACCUGAGUGACUGGAAGGGCUGGAGCCAGGAUCUGCCCCUUCCCAGACCUCAUUUAAGGGCUGGCAGUGGAGAUGAGAGUAUUUUGCUGGAGAUCGCUGCGUACCUGAGGCCUUCUGAAGAAGUGGGGUGCUGUCAGCUCUUCCUGGGAAGUUAUGGGGGAUCGUGGAAGAAUGACUCAUCCGUUCUGUUCUGCGUGAGGAAGCCUGGGAAAGCACCAUGCUUCUGGAGGAAAAGGCGUGCAAUUCAGCAGCUUAAUACUCCCAGCACGACGUCCUCCCCAUGUGCCACUGAAGAAUGGGCACUGAGGAUUUAUAGUAACAUGCUGCAGUGCCCUGAGAUGAAGCAUGUAACUGGCACCUGCCUUAGGAUGAGUGAGGGUUUCUCUCCUCUGCCUUGGAAUAACAGCCUUGGGAUUACAGCUUGGGUUGCCCUGCUCUGUACUCAGGAUGCAUCAGGAGAAGAUACUUCAGUGCCUUCCUUUGCAGGCAAUGCCAGGGGAAGGCAUCUUGGUGCCCAGCAGUGCAAGGAGCUCUGUGGUAGCAGGACUCUGGGAUCCCUGGGGUAAGACAACGAUAUCCCCCAUGUACCACCUCCAGGGUGAGAACAUGAGCAGCAGAGAGGCCAACUGAGAUGCUGGGAACAAGCACGUGCCACUGUGGUUAAUGGCUUAUUGAUGGGCUUACAGCUUUUCCUUCCAUCAUUACCAUGCAAGGUCUGGGUUUAGAUUUUUACUAAUUUGUUUGUUCCUAGCUGUUCAAUAGAUCUUUUCAGCAAACAUGCUUCAAUCUUUGGGUUAUUCACAAACACGCUUGCUAAAUGUAUUACUGUCCACUUAAUGAAUUCCAGUUGUUCAUUAGCACACCUAUCAUGUGGUAUUACUUCUGCUUUCUGAAUGGAUGUGAUAAAAUAGAUGCAUUAAAUAAAAAGAAAAUUAAAAAAAAAAAGGCAGGUGGGGAAAAAUGAAGUUUCAGUGAUGUUUUCAGGAGGAAGGUGUGAAAAACAGGUGGACUCUAUGCUGAGGAGGUCAGUGGUUUCCUGUGCAAAGGCAGAGCAGUGGACACUGAUGAAGCAGCAGCAAAGCAUGGACUGAAACCAUAACCCUGCAUUGGGAUGAGUCAGAAAGAGGAGAAAGGCUGCACUGCAGCAUCCCUAAUGAAGGCUCUAGCUGCUCUGCACAGCCUGUUUUGACCCACACUGUCAGCCUCCCUGUGUAAACCUCAGUUGCAGCGUAAGCUUGUAUCUCCAGCAGAGUGGAACUGAAUGCACACCUCCUAUUUCCCCAAGGAGCUUUUAGGAUCUCCAAGUGAUCUCCCACCUGCACCCAAGAGGUUGGGCACCAUCUGCGUACUUUGAAUCUGUUCCCCACAGUCCUGAUGUGAAAGCUGCCCCAUCAGUGGGCCCUGUGUAACGAGCUCUGCACAACGAGGCAUGGGCCUUGGCUCAGAAACCUGGAUUAAGGCAUCUCAGUAAUAAAAAAAAAAAGCCAAACACGUUUACUUUUCAUUGUUAGGAAGGAGAGCAUCGUUCAGAUUAGCAUUCAGGCCUGGUGUAAGUGAAGGGAGAAUAAUUGCAGAUAGUUAAUCUAUUCAAACUUAAUUCCUCUUCCUAAUUACUCACAAAUAAUAUAAUCUAUAUAAAUCUCACUUGAAGAGGCAAAGGGGAUAUUACUUUUAAUGGUCUGACACAGAGGAGGACUGGGCUGGUAACAAACUCUUCAGCCCUCGCCUUGCCCCAGGCACCAGCUGCAAGCUCUCCCAGCUGCAUAGCAUCAGCAAAACCUUGUGGAUUAGAUGAGGAACUCCCAUGCACCCACUUCAGACUUAAGCCAGCUAGUUCUGUAGUAAUUAAAACCAAUUUGGUUAAAUGCUUUCCUCCUGAGUGCCUGUUUUUGUUAUGCUUGGAAACCAGGGGCCAAAUGAAGGACUCAAGCACUGCUCUGGUGCGUGGCUGGUGAGGGCUUUGCAGCCGUUGCUGCAAACGAUUUGUGUUCUAAAAGAAAGGAAAGAAGGAAAGGGAAACAACCUGGCUUGCCUGUGGCUGCAGAACUGGCAAUCAAUGGGAUGAGGAGUGCUUUUCCUCUCCCUUCCUGGACAAAUGUGUAAAAUGCUCCUUGAAAAGAAGACAGAAGAAGUGCAUCCUGGGAUCUUCUCAAGCUCUAAAGCGCCUCUUUUCUUUAACUAUGAAAAAUACACAGGAGGACAAAUGACAGCUGGACUUGCAAGUGGUUGCAGUGGUUUUUCCCCCAGCAUAGUGGCUCUGCAUCCAUCCAGCAGGGCUGAAUGCAACCACAGUGGGUAGAUGGGGUCAGCAGCACCCCGGCUGCCCUGUGCCACCAAAGCUCGGCGGCUCAGCGCUCACCUGCAUGGGCUGCCAAGGAGAAAAAUGUAACUCUUGUUCAGCGCCGUCAGCAG